AAGUCGUAACAAGGUUUCCGUAGGUGAACCUGCGGAAGGAUCAUUAGUGAUUGCCCUCUGGGCUUAAAACUAUAUCCAUAUACACCUGUGAACCGUUUGAUUGACUCUUUAUUGAGUUGAUUUUACAAACAUUGUGUAAUGAACGUCUAGUUAUUAUAACAAAAAUAACUUUCAACAACGGAUCUCUUGGCUCUC
rnacentral:misc_RNA from 1 species